rnacentral:lncRNA from 10 species
GUGUUUCUUUUAGCUUGCAACACCAUGAAAAAAUUACUGAGACACUAGGAAUGCUGUGAACUGAGAAAGUUUGGGACCUUUGGCAUAACUAAAUCCUUCAUUUAACAGCCAGGGGAUUGGACGGUGUCAUGGAAAUGUCAAAGAAAAAGUGACACCUGAGAGAAAAUUUGAAAGAUGAAAGGUGCACAUCAUGGAGACAAUCUGACUGGUACAGAGAAAUGAAGAGACAACAUUUUCUUUCCAAAUCUGAGUGGAGAUGAUAGAAGAGGCCCUGGUUAGCAGCUUCAGAUGAUGGAUACAUAAAAAUGGGAGAGAGAAAACAUAUAAGAGUGACUAAUUGUUGAGUUUCCAGGGCUCAAACCAAUCUUGAAUUGGAAUUUCAAGACAUAAAAACCACUGCAGGAACCUGCUGGAGAAACGGCCUCUGGUAUCUCUAUCUGAAAUAUGAUUAUCUUAAGUUCGCAAAGCAUUGUGUCUGCAGUGUGAGUUUGAAAACAACAAUGUUAAGGCAACUUCGCAGCUUCUUAAUCAAGCCCUUCUCCAUCUCUCCGUGUGGUUUUUGGGGUGGUGGAGGUGGAGCCAAAAAAGAGAGGGCAGUUUCCCAGGGCUGAAGAUGCUACCAUGACUCAUAGGAUCUAUGCAAACCCUGUGAGUGAAUUCUGAGGAAGAAGAAUGAGUAAUAUUUUGAUUUUAUUACUGAUGGUAAUAAGAUAGUAUCAUCAGUGUGGUAUAUUCUGAUUACUGAAUUCUAUUCCCUAUUUUCUUCCUGUGGCCAAAUAAAAUUUGUGUGUGUAAGCUAUGAUAUUUAGUGUUGUUAUCUGAUGAGACAGGUUUAGUGGAAAAGUUCAUUUUAAAUAAACAUUAAAAUUGUUUCAGCCUCAGAUUUUUAAUCCAAAUCAUUCCUUUGACACCAGAAGAAUUUUCCUCAGAGUCAACUCCAAAGAUAAAGCUGCCUGUUUUCCUAUUUGCCCAGAAGUAAAGAGGUUGCAAAA